AUGGCGGUGCUUACCAUGCAAGUCGAACGGGAUUUAUUAGAAGCUUGCUUCUAAUAAAUCUAGUGGCGGACGGGUGAGUAACGCGUGGGUAACCUGCCCAUAAGAGGGGGAUAACACCGGGAAACCGGUGCUAAUACCGCAUAACAUCUUUGAAUCGCAUGAUACGAAGAUAAAAGGAGUAAUCCGCUUAUGGAUGGACCCGCGUCUGAUUAGCUAGUUGGUAGGGUAAAGGCCUACCAAGGCGACGAUCAGUAGCCGGCCUGAGAGGGUGAACGGCCACACUGGAACUGAGAGACGGUCCAGACUCCUACGGGAGGCAGCAGUGGGGAAUCUUCCGCAAUGGGCGAAAGCCUGACGGAGCAACGCCGCGUGAGUGAUGAAUGCCUUCGGGUUGUAAAACUCUGUCAUCAGGGAAGAAACAAAUGACGGUACCUGAGGAGGAAGCCCCGGCUAACUACGUGCCAGCAGCCGCGGUAAUACGUAGGGGGCGAGCGUUGUCCGGAAUUACUGGGCGUAAAGAGCAUGUAGGCGGGUAUUUAAGUCAAGAGUGAAAACUAUGGGCUCAACCCAUAGCCUGCUCAUGAAACUGGAUACCUUGAGGGUAUGAGAGGAAAGCGGAAUUCCCAGUGUAGCGGUGAAAUGCGUAGAUAUUGGGAGGAACACCAGUGGCGAAUGCGGCUUUCUGGCAUACGACUGACGCUGAGAUGCGAAAGCGUGGGGAGCGAACGGGAUUAGAUACCCCGGUAGUCCACGCCGUAUACGAUGGGUACUAGUGUACGACGUAUAGACUGCCUCUGAGGCGUUUUGACAAGAUGACUUCCCUACUGCGGA
rnacentral:rRNA from 1 species